UUUGAAUCUCUCAUUUUAUACAGAGCAAAGCAAAAGUAGAAAAGAAUCAAGCUCUAUAACACUCGAUGAGUGAGAACUCGUUUCAACUAUGUGCAGUUGAAAAGCUGAGUUUUGAACCCCUGCCUAUACUUGUCCAAAUUUUUAUAUGGAAGAAGUUGAAAGAGGAGAGCGGAUGCCUCUACCACAGAGUGUUGUACUUGGAGCAAAAGAUUUACCUCGAACCAUACUCAGUGAUCACAUAGAGAGCAGGUUGUUUGGAAAACUGAAGCAUGAGAGACUAGAGCGCACAAGGUUCUAUGGGAAAACUUAUGAUGAGGUUCCUGGAGCAGAAGCACUUGUUGUCAGAGUGGUCUCUUCUGUGGACAAGAAGUUGGAAGUCAAGCAACAAUUUCUUGAGAUCUUUCAAUAGGAAAAUUACCCUGUGGAGUUUGGGUAUAAGUCUAAGGUGGUUCUGUUGUUUCAGAAAAUUGAAGGUGUAGAAGUGUGUCUUUUUGGUAUGUAUGUUCAAGAAUGUGGAGCAAAGUGUCCGCAGCCAAACCAUCGGCGUGUUUAUCUUUCUUAUCUGGAUUCAGUCAAGUACUUCAGGCCUGAGAUUAAGGCUGUGACAGGGGAGGCUCUUCGUACAUUUGUAUAUCAUGAAAUUCUGGUA